UGAUUGAAAUCUUUUUGGUAGUAUGAUCCAGAUCCAUGAUGGUCUUCUUCAUCAUCAAUAAACUGCUUCUGAUGACUCUUCUGCUCCAACCAACUGACGAGAACACAGAGUUUAAGACACACACAACACCUAAACCUGACAAUCCUGAGUAUUCUGGGGAGCUCUGCCUGCGUGUUUCUGAUGACUCUCACUGGACCAGCUCCAAACCAGUGUCCACCUGAAAGAUGAUAACAUUUUCUGUAGGGAGGUGUACCGGCCACAGUUCAAGACAAUGCUGGAGAAACUGGAAGG